rnacentral:rRNA from 1 species
CGGGGUGAGUAAUGCUUGGGAAUCUAGCUUAUGGAGGGGGAUAACUACGGGAAACUGUAGCUAAUACCGCGUAAUAUCGAAAGAUUAAAGUGUGGGACCUUCGGGCCACAUGCCAUAGGAUGAGCCCAAGUGGGAUUAGGUAGUUGGUGAGGUAAGGGCUCACCAAGCCGACGAUCUCUAGCUGGUCUGAGAGGAUGACCAGCCACACUGGGACUGAGACACGGCCCAG